rnacentral:rRNA from 1 species
UACGAAGGGGGGCUAGCGUUGCUCGGAAUCACUGGGCGUAAAGCGCACGUAGGCGGAUUGCUAAGUCAGGGGUGAAAUCCUGGAGCUCAACUCCAGAACUGCCUUUGAUACUGGCGACCUUGAGUCCGGGAGAGGUGAGUGGAACUGCGAGUGUAGAGGUGAAAUUCGUAGAUAUUCGCAAGAACACCAGUGGCGAAGGCGGCUCACUGGCCCGGUACUGACGCUGAGGUGCGAAAGCGUGGGGAGCAAACAGGG